rnacentral:rRNA from 1 species
UGCAGUCGAGCGAUGAUAGGGAGCUUGCUCCCUGGUUUUAGCGGCGGACGGGUGAGUAACACGUGGGCAACCUACCUGUAAGACUGGGAUAACUUCGGGAAACCGGAGCUAAUACCGGAUAAUUUCUUUUCUCGCAUGAGAAAAGAUGGAAAGACGGUUUCGGCUGUCACUUACAGAUGGGCCCGCGGCGCAUUAGCUAGUUGGUGAGGUAACGGCUCACCAAGGCCACGAUGCGUAGCCGACCUGAGAGGGUGAUCGGCCACACUGGGACUGAGACACGGCCCAGACUCCUACGGGAGGCAGCAGUAGGGAAUCUUCCGCAAUGGACGAAAGUCUGACGGAGCAACGCCGCGUGAACGAAGAAGGCCUUCGGGUCGUAAAGUUCUGUUGUUAGGGAAGAACAAGUACCAGAGUAACUGCUGGUACCUUGACGGUACCUAACCAGAAAGCCACGGCUAACUACGUGCCAGCAGCCGCGGUAAUACGUAGGUGGCAAGCGUUGUCCGGAAUUAUUGGGCGUAAAGCGCGCGCAGGUGGUUCCUUAAGUCUGAUGUGAAAGCCCACGGCUCAACCGUGGAGGGUCAUUGGAAACUGGGGAACUUGAGUGCAGAAGAGGAAAGUGGAAUUCCACGUGUAGCGGUGAAAUGCGUAGAGAUGUGGAGGAACACCAGUGGCGAAGGCGACUUUCUGGUCUGUAACUGACACUGAGGCGCGAAAGCGUGGGGA